rnacentral:rRNA from 1 species
UACGGAGGGGCUAGCGUUGUUCGGAAUUACUGGGCGUAAAGCGCGCGUAGGCGGACCUGCAAGUCGGGGGUGAAAGCCCGAGGCUCAACCUCGGAACUGCCUUCGAUACUGCGGGUCUCGAGUCCGGGAGAGGUGAGUGGAAUUCCUAAGUGUAGAGGUGAAAUUCGUAGAUAUUAGGAAGAACACCAGUGGCGAAGGCGGCGAAUCUGGGAACAUACUGACGCUGAG